GACAGAGGGUGCGAACGUUGCUCGGAAUUACUGGGCGUAAAGCGCGUGUAGGCGGGUGAUCAAGUCAGGUGUGAAAUCCCCAGGCUCAACCUGGGAACUGCACUUGAAACUGGUCGCCUUGAGUGCAGGAGAGGAACGCGGAAUUCCAGGUGUAGCGGUGAAAUGCGUAGAUAUCUGGAGGAACACCGGUGGCGAAGGCGGCGUUCUGGACUGCAACUGACACUGAUAAACGAAAGCCAGGGUAGCAAACGGG
rnacentral:rRNA from 1 species